rnacentral:rRNA from 1 species
AGCGAACGCUGGCGGCAGGCCUAACACAUGCAAGUCGAACGAACCUUUCGGGGUUAGUGGCGGACGGGUGAGUAACACGUGGGAACGUGCCUUUAGGUUCGGAAUAACUCAGGGAAACUUGUGCUAAUACCGAAUGUGCCCUUCGGGGGAAAGAUUUAUCGCCUUUAGAGCGGCCCGCGUCUGAUUAGCUAGUUGGUUGAGGUAAUGGCUCACCAAGGCGACGAUCAGUAGCUGGUCUGAGAGGAUGAUCAGCCACAUUGGGACUGAGACACGGCCAAAACUCCUACGGGAGGCAGCAGUGGGGAAUCUUGCGCAAUGGGCGAAAGCCUGACGCAGCCAUGCCGCGUGAAUGAUGAAGGUCUUAGGAUUGUAAAAUUCUUUCACCGGGGACGAUAAUGACGGUACCCGGAGAAGAAGCCCCGGCUAACUUCGUG